GACGAACGCUGGCGGCGUGCUUAACACAUGCAAGUCGAACGGAAAGGCCCUGCUUUUGUGGGGUGCUCGAGUGGCGAACGGGUGCGUAACACGUGAGUAACCUGCCCUUGACUUUGGGAUAACUUCAGGAAACUGGGGCUAAUACCGGAUAGGAGCUCCUGCUGCAUGGUGGGGGUUGGAAAGUUUCGGCGGUUGGGGAUGGACGCGCGGCUUAUCAGCUUGUUGGUGGGGUAGUGGCUUACCAAGGCUUUGACGGGUCGCCGGCCUGAGAGGGUGACCGGCCACAUGGGGCCUGAGAUACGGCCCAGACUCCUACGGGAGGCAGCAGUGGGGAAUAUUGCACAAUGGGCGGAAGCCUGAUGCAGCAACGCCGCGUGCGGGAUGACGGCCUUCGGGUUGUAAACCGCUUUCGCCUGUGACGAAGCGUGAGUGACGGUACUGGGUAAAGAAGCACCGGCUAACUACGUG
rnacentral:rRNA from 1 species